rnacentral:pre_miRNA from 1 species
UGUUAAAUUUUUUUUCUUCUAUUUGUACUGUUAAAAAUUAGCAUAUGACUUAAAAAUCAAACAGUGGCACAUGAUGUGCCAUAUGCACGUCAUGUUAAUGUACAAAAAUCUUAUAACAGUAGAAAUAGACAAAAAAUUUAACA